GUGCCGGAAGCGCCGGUGGCUUCGGAGGGCGAGGAACAAUGCGCGCUCGGAGGCGGAGGCCGGGUUUGGGGUUGGCGUGGUUGCCUCUCACAAACAGGAAACUACGGCUUUACCAAAUGCCACACAACAGAAUUUUGCGUGUGUUUACAAGACGGUUUUUCCUCCGGACACUGUCUAAUAGGGUAUUUUUAUGAUACUGAAAAAUACAGUGGCAAAAAACUGGCGGAAGCCAUGCUGUAAUCUCCUGGAAUGGCCCACAGAUGUUUUGUGAAUGGAGUUCCUUAUGGAAUGGCUCUUUGGAGAAUCCUGCCCACCACAAGGGCCUGUGGAGGUGAUGCUGCAGACCCCUGUGUGGAUCCUAGGGAACUCUCAAGCUUCAGGCCUUCCUAACUUUCGUAACACUUGUUCUUAUGGUCAUUAUGGUUUUCCUUUGUCAGUUGUGAUUGUGGCUGAGUUUACAGGGAACUAAAGCUGAUAAUUUGUCUAAAGUUUCUACAAUGAAGUUAAACAUCUUUGCUGUCUAUCACAGAAAUUAGUUAAUCAAAUCGCCCCUGGCAGCCUUUGCAGCCAUCUUGAGUAAGCAGGGAGAACUCUCUAUGGUUAAUGACUCUGGCUUACUUGAGUGUCCUUAAAGAGAGAGGGAUAUGGAUAGGGAGAGAGGUUGGGGGGAGCUACAUCCCAAGAACUUAGGAGAUGGUUUCUUAAAAGAUGACAUAAGAAUUUAUAGAAAAAAAUAAGGAAAAGAUAAAGGUUAUUGAAAGGUCAGAGAUCUCUGAUGCCAUGGUAUGAAAGACAAGUCAGACAUUGUUUUACAGUGCUCAAAUAUCAGCAAAGGAAUCUAAAUCUCCCAGUCCCCUUGGAAGUAAAAGUACAAGUAGAAACUGCCAGGCAGAAUAGAAACUUGGUCCCAACAGUUAAAAUUAAUGAAGAAUUAAUCAUUACCAUUCUGAGAAUAUAUAAAAGAUUAGGAUUACAAGUGCUUCUCACAUAAAAGUGGUAUGCAGGGCUGGAGAGAUGCCUCAGUGGUUAAGAGCACUGCCUGCUCUUCCAAAGGUCCUGAGUUCAAUUCCCAGCAACCACAUGGUGGCUCACAACCAUC